rnacentral:rRNA from 1 species
CCGACGGUGAGGGGCGAAAGCUGGGGGAGCAAACCGGAUUAGAUACCCGGGUAGUCCCAGCCGUAAACGAUGUGCGUUAGGUGUAUCGGUGACCACGAGUCACCGAGGUGCCGAAGAGAAAUCGUGAAACGUACCGCCUGGGAAGUACGGUCGCAAGGCUGAAACUUAAAGGAAUUGGCGGGGGAGCACCACAACAGGUGGAGCCUGCGGUUUAAUCGGACUCAACGCCGGAAAACUCACCAGAUAAGACAGCUGAAUGAUAGUCAGGCUGAAGACUCUACUUGACUAGCUGAGAGGAGGUGCAUGGCCGUCGUCAGUUCGUACUGUGAAGCAUCCUGUUAAGUCAGGCAACGAGCGAGACCCACGCCAACAGUUGCU